CAGUUCUUUUUUUAGAAUUUGUCUUGUGGGCUUUCUGAAUUUUGUCAGAAAACCCAA
ensembl:snRNA Rnu7-151 RNA, U7 small nuclear 151